rnacentral:misc_RNA from 1 species
GAUGAAGAACGCAGCGAAAUGCGAUAAGUAAUGUGAAUUGCAGAAUUCAGUGAAUCAUCGAAUCUUUGAACGCACAUUGCGCCCCCUGGUAUUCCGGGGGGCAUGCCUGUUCGAGCGUCAUUUCACCACUCAAGCCUCGCUUGGUAUUGGGCAACGCGGUCCGCCGCGUGCCUCAAAUCGACCGGCUGGGUCUUCUGUCCCCUAAGCGUUGUGGAAACUAUUCGCUAAAGGGUGUUCGGGAGGCUACGCCGUAAAACAACCCCAUUUCUAAGGUUGACCUCGGAUCAGGUAGGGAUGCCCGCUGAACUUAAGCAUAUCAAUAAGCGGAGGA